UUCCUUCUGGCUUUCCCACCAAUAUCCUAUACAUAUUCCUUGUCCCCCCAAUCGUGCUACAUGCCCCGCCCACCUCGAAUUGAGCUGGUUCUGUUAAUAAAUUUAGAGGGUUUAAUACAUGCUUCUAACUUGAUUAAAAGAAAUUUUACAUUUUUUAGAACAAAAGAUACCCCUCAUUAACUGCUUAACUUCAAGAUAGCAUAUGCUUCUUGUAGUACAAAAAAUAGUUUGUUUCCUUCAUUUUUUACUUUGUAUUGAUACAAAUUAGCAUGGUAGGUUUUGUAAUAAAUGUAAAUAAUAAUCACAGAAAAUUUUGUCCCAGCUCUGUUUUCACCAUAUUUAUCUAUCUACCUACCAAUGCCUAAUACUCCAUUAUUUGUAAAGUUUGAGCAGAACAUUUUGCUCAACAACAAACUUUGAUUUGUAUUGUCUGUAGCUUAUUUAUAAAGAAUUAGGAUAUGGUUAUGACAUUGCCCCCUCAUGUGUGAAGGUAAUUUUAGAACAACUGCAAAGUUUCAAAAGCACUAAUAUAGCAUAGAAGAAAUCUGUAAGUUCUAUAUAUCAGAAGCAUCUAGAUUAUUGAAGUUACAGCUCACAGUGCAGCAAAACUAUUAUGACUGCCAGAAGAGAUUUACUGAAUUUACAAAGUGGAACUUGUGCGCCUGCUUAUUACUGACUGCAGAAUAAAGGACUAUGUGCUUAGGGUAGCCUCCAAUGGUACUGCAUUCAUAUAAAAUUUUAUGAAAAAUUUGUCCAACAGUUUUGAGUUGAAAUGUGCACAGACAUAUAGAGAGACAUUAGCCCCCUCAUCUGCAUUCUACUUAUGUACAUCAUGCAAAGAAGGCAUAACAAGACAAGAAAAGCAGGCCAAACAGCUGUGGCAGUAACCUAGUUAUAACAUUAUAUACAUCCAUAUUACAACCAAAAAUUAAACACUGGCUUCCACAGGUUUGAUUUAAAAGUAACAAACUUCUGAAAUACCACUGUAAAAAUGGCUUACCUUUUUAUUGUGAAGAAGUAUGCCACACAUGAUAAGACAACAAAAAAACACACUGUAAGAACUCUUUCUCUUCAUACUUGUGUGUCUCUCACAGCAAAACAAACUGCAGGAUUCAAAUUUUGCUGCACUGUAAUAACAAUGCAGCUGCAGGCAACUUGGUCCAAACAGUUGCUUACAACACUAUGACACCACCAUACAUUAUGUUUACAUAUAUAUUUAUACUAUAAAAAUAAUGAAAAAUGUACACACUAAAAAACAUGGAACUGCUUCCUUGCAACAUACCAGAACACAAGUUACAUAAUGCUCAUCAUCUCUCCAUACAAGAAUCACACAAUCAGUCACCAUUCACAACACAAAUGCAUGCAAAAAUUCUAAUCUUUCUGAUGGAAACCUUUCCAUUUUGUUGUUUAUGUACUGUUAAAACCAAAAUUUGCCUUAGUUAUUCUUCUUCUUCUUCUUCAUCUUACUAUUAUUAAUGGUAAGCAAUCAUUUUUGCAUAAUUUCUAUUGUAAUAGUUGGAAUCUUCCUGUCAUAAAAUAUAAGAAGACAGGUUCUGACUAUAAAGGAAUUCUGAUGCUGUACCUUACUUCUGCUGCAGAUGAUGAAAGAAACAGUGAUGAGUUAGUUAUUACAGAUUAUACUUGUUAUGUACACUUCCAUUUUAAAUAUGAAUUUAAAAAUUGCUUUAAAUGUAGAAAAUAUUUAUCAAAAAACUGCUUUGCUUUUAUA